UUUCCGUAGGUGAACCUGCGGAAGGAUCAUUAACGAAUCUUAAAGUCGACCCAUCCUGUGCUGGUGCUUUGCACAUGUGCACGCUUGGGUCGCAAAUCCACACACCUGUGCAUAUCUGACUCUGAGUGCUUUACCUCAUGUGAGGGGCUUGACCAUGGUCAAGUCGGCACUCGAGUAUUUUCACACACUCUGAAUGGAAAGGAAUGUAUAUUGUGCAUAAUGUGCAAACAAAACAACUUUCAACAACGGAUCUCUUGGCUCUCGCAUCGAUGAAGAACGCAGC
rnacentral:misc_RNA from 1 species